CCGCGCCAGCAGGUCCUAAUGCCUGUCACUUCCCAGGACGCUGGCAGCGGCAGCCUGGAGCCCCCAAGCCCUCGGCAGGUUUGCCUGUCCUUCCCCGCGAUCUGAUUGGAUAAAGUGGGGGCUCGACGGUGGCCGACGUGGGACAGUCUGGCUGUGGCAGGGGUCUCGGAAACCAUGGGUUAUUGCAGUGGCAGGUGCACGCUUAUCUUUAUCUGUGGCAUGCAACUGGUUUGUGUGCUGGAGAGACAAAUAUUUGAUUUCCUUGGAUAUCAGUGGGCACCUAUCCUGGCAAAUUUUGUACAUAUUAUUAUCGUCAUUCUUGGUUUAUUUGGAACUAUUCAAUAUAGACCUCGUUACAUAACAGGAUAUGCUGUCUGGCUAGUCCUCUGGGUUACGUGGAAUGUGUUUGUUAUCUGCUUCUAUUUGGAGGCUGGGGACCUCUCAAAGGAAACAGACCUUAUCCUGACUUUUAAUAUUUCAAUGCACCGAUCUUGGUGGAUGGAGAAUGGACCAGGAUGUACGGUGACAUCAGUGACACCCGCCCCAGAUUGGGCCCCAGAGGACCAUCGCUACAUCACGGUCUCAGGGUGUUUUCUGGAGUACCAGUACAUAGAAGUGGCCCAUAGUUCCCUCCAGAUUGUCCUCGCACUGGCAGGGUUCAUCUACGCCUGUUAUGUUGUGAAAUGUAUAACUGAAGAAGAGGACAGCUUUGAUUUCAUAGGUGGCUUUGACUCUUAUGGCUAUCAAGGUCCACAGAAGACAUCUCAUUUACAGCUACAGCCUAUGUACAUGCAAAUUCCCUUGGAUAACAACUGAUAACAAAUUCUAUAUAUCAGCAUCAAGUGAUAUGCUGAAUUGCAAGCGAAGAUCAAAAUAGAAAGUCAAAAUAAUACAGAUGACUUCAGUAUGUCAGCUCAUGGACUUUUCAAAGAACUUGUUUCUCAGUGGCCUCCUGCAUUUUAUGAAGAGCAAGAAGCAACCGGAUCUUAACGUAUAUACAUAUUAACACAACAAACACAAAGCCUCUACAUAUACUGAGACACGCACGCGGGGACCCACACACACGCACACACAGGAGCGCGCACACACCAAUUCCACUUGACCUCCUCUUUCUAACUGAAAUAGACAAAUAUGCAGGACACGCCCAUCUUGGAUUUCCUGAAAGCAGGCUCCUUUCUCCCAGGCCUUUGGAGAAGGAGGUGCGAUGGUGCCCUCUGCUGGCCACUCCUCCGCAGCCCAGCCCGCCGGCCUGUGCGAGCCGCGAAGUCAUCCUGGACGCAGUUAGUUUGCGAGCUGGGUCUUCUGCACUCCAUAUUAUCUUGAUAGCACCACGGCUACUUAGGCAAUGUAAUUGCAAAAACUAACAAAACAUGCCAUGAUGACCUUGUAACCGAAGUCCGAAAUGGUAGAUCGUUUGCCCCAAAAGGCUGUACCGUACAUACUUGCCUUAACCCACCUACGUUGUGCGCCCGAGAAUCUCAGUGCAGACGUCCCCAAGGCACUUCCUUUAGGCGAACACACUGCUGUUAAUGCUGAAUGAGUUGCAGUCGUGUGUUCAUGUCAAGGAACGGCGCUGAGAAGCGCGGCAGCGCCAGUCUGGUGUGUCUGUAAAAGAAAACCGCCAGCUGGCAGCGAAGUGCUUUACCCUAGAGCCUCCACGCCGAAAAGACAAGUUAACGAUAACAACAGUAAUAAUCGACAUCUUUAUAAUUCUUAAAUAUGGUCUUCUGACGGGGUUGGGGUGGGACAAAGUAAAACUUACUAAUCUACUAAACUCAUUCAUCUACUGGAAGCAGAAAUGGCUUAACUCACUGAUUUUAUUUAUUGCACUCUAGGUGCUUUUAUAAGUAUCUACAAAUGUCUUUUACUAACACAGAAACAGCUGUGGAUUUCUAUCAAGAGGCCAACUGAAAAUGUAUUAGCUAUGUUUACUCUUUUAUAUCUAAUUCAAAUCGAAGACCCUAUGUAGGUGAACUUUUUUUUCUAACUAGCGUACGAGAUUAUUUUUGGGGUGGGUGGGGGGAGCAAUAGUUACCUUGGUGAAAUAUUUGAGAUCUCUUUGUGGUAUUUGGGGGAUCUGUUGUGUGUUAGAGUGUAUUUCAAUCCUCCUGUAUUAUUGUGGCAGAAAAACUGUGCUGUUAACGUAGUUGGCUACAAGAUGCCUUUGGAAACUUAAUAGUAGGUCAAUGUGUUUAUGAAAUAUUCCGAACUCCUAGGAAAUUUUGUUCUCUACUUUCAAAUAUUAUUUGCUUUUCAUUAGUGAAAAACAUAAUUAGCUCAGGCUUAUCAGGAACUCAGAUGAGUCAUAUUUUUUUCUUGGAUCCACCUGAGAGACUAAAAUCAAUUUUUCUUUUUAAUUGAUACACCAUCCUUAAGUACAAUGAAAUUCAGAAGUUAUAAAUUGGCAUGGAGUAAGUUUGUUCUGGGGUGUUUUUUUUUUUUUGUUUUGUUUUGUUUUUUUGUUUUGUUUUAUUUUGGUUUGGUUUGGUUUCUAUAAAGUUUCAGUUAUUGGGUUAACCAAUUUUGGACCUUAGCCCAACCAGAUCUACAUAAGCCAGUCCCAUUACUGUGUUUGCAUGAAUGUCUGUAAUUAUACACACAUAUAUACAUUUGAAAAUAAUAAAGAAACAAAGAAUUAUCAUUGGAACAUAAACUAAAAAGAUUCCAGCACUUGUGCUUGAAUUUUCAUAAUGGCUUGUAUAUGUUUGUCCAUACAUACAUGUAUAAAGUGCGCAAUUGCAAACAUGGCAGUGAAACCUCAUAUGAUGUUUUUAUGGUGACAUGCAUGUUUAAUGUAUGAGAAAAAUAUUUACCAAUGUAUUGUCCUUUAAUUCCUAAAAUAUAAAUACUAUACAUGCCAGAAACUAUUCUAAUAUGACUUUUAAUGUGACUAUUAAAAUGAGGUUUCACUGUACAUUCAUGCUGUGAUGAGAUUUCAGCAUGUACAUGUAUCUGGAUACAGAAAAUGAGCCCUCAUAUUCCUGCUUUAAGUUACAGCCAAGUUGCCACCAAAUCACAAUUAUCAUCACCACCCAAAUUUUCAAAAACAGUUGUUGACUACUAAAAAGUAACAGUUGACGGAUCUUUUUUGGGAGCAGUAAGCACAGUGGUGUGAUUAUAUCUGGGAAAACAUCUAAGUUGUACAGCUGUAUCCUCCUCAAAAUCCGGUGAAGAAUGCUAUUUUUCUAGGCUGAGCUUUUGUUAUAAACCUAAUAUUCAGAAAGCAAGAGUUACAAUCCUGAUGUCUUUUUUUUUCUUUUGCAUUUGUUAAUUCUGAAUGUAUUUUUAACAGAGUGAUUUUUUUGACUUACUAGUGUAAUUUGCAUUUUAAAAAUAAAUGGAAAACCAAUUACG